CGUCGAAUGUGCUCUGUGAAAUG
rnacentral:miRNA from 1 species